GUGCUGCUGGGAGAGGCUGUAGCUGGGUGCUGGACACCCCUGGCAAGGGCUGGCUGUGCACAGUUGUUCUGCUGCACAACGGGAAUCUGGCCAGGAGAUCCUCACUUGGGUUGGAAAACAACCUGACUCCAGAGAGAGGGUUUCCCAUGGAGCUGCUUGGUGGUAAUGGGGAGACAGUCCAGGCUGGGCUGUUUGCACCAGCGCAAGAUGGGGAGUAAGGGAUCCACUGGAAGAAUUUGUUCUAUGUGUUCUCCCAACUCCUUGGCUUGGCACAGGGAAUGCUCCCUGCACUUUCCUCUCAGAUCAUGACCCAACCUCACCCGUUGAGCAGAAACCCCUCUUUUCCCUUUGAAUGACCAGAAAGAGAAAACCAGACAGUAACAGUCCUCAAGGCCCUGCACA